rnacentral:rRNA from 1 species
UACGAAGGGGGCUAGCGUUGCUCGGAAUCACUGGGCGUAAAGCGCACGUAGGCGGAUUGUUAAGUCAGGGGUGAAAUCCUGGAGCUCAACUCCAGAACUGCCUUUGAUACUGGCGAUCUUGAGUCCGGGAGAGGUGAGUGGAACUGCGAGUGUAGAGGUGAAAUUCGUAGAUAUUCGCAAGAACACCAGUGGCGAAGGCGGCUCACUGGCCCGGUACUGGCGCUGAGGUGCGAAAGCGUGGGGAGCAACAG